GAAUCCCGUCUUUGACAUGGACUGCCAGGGCUCAACAGGUGUGCUCUCGAAGAGUCGAGUUGUUUGGGAAUGCAGCUCAAAAUGGGUGGUAAAUGCCAUCUAAAGCUAAAUAUUGGCGAGAGACCGAUAGCGAACAAGUACCGUGAGGGAAAGAUGAAAAGAACUUUGGAAAGAGAGUUAAACAGUACGUGAAAUUGCUGAAAGGGAAACGCUUGAAGUCAGUCGCGUCAGCUGGAAAUCAACCCUGCUUUUGCUGGGCGCACUUUCCUGUCUGACGGGUCAGCAUCAGUUCUGGUCGCUGGAUAAAGUCCUUGGGAACGUGGCAUCCUUUGGAUGUGUUAUAGCCCACUGGCGCAUGCAGCGGCUGGGAUUGAGGAACUCAGCACGGCCCUUGCGAGAGGGCGAUUGGAGGGAGACCUCACAACUUACGUGCUUAGGAUGCUGGCAUAAUGGCUUUAAUCGACCCGUCUUGAAACACGGACCAAGGAGUCUAACAUGCCUGCGAGUGUUUGGGUGGUGAAAACUCAUGCGCGCAAUGAAAGUGAUGGUUGAGAUCCCUGUCAUGGGGAGCAUCGACGCCCAGACCAGACCUUUUGCGACGGAUCUGCGGUAGAGCAUGCAUGUUGGGACCCGAAAGAUGGUGAACUAUGCCUGAAUAGGGUGAAGCCAGAGGAAACUCUGGUGGAGGCUCGUAGCGAUUCUGACGUGCAAAUCGAUCGUCAAAUUUGGGUAUAGGGGCGAAAGACUAAUCGAACCAUCUAGUAGCUGGCUCCUGCC
rnacentral:rRNA from 1 species